rnacentral:rRNA from 1 species
GAUCCUGGCUCAGGAUGAACGCUAGCGGCAGGCUUAACACAUGCAAGUCGAGGGGCAGCGAGAUCAAAGCUUGCUUUGGUUUGUCGGCGACCGGCGCACGGGUGCGUAACGCGUAUGCAACCUACCCACUACAGGGGGAUAACGACUGAGAAAUCGGUACUAAUACCCCAUAAUAUCUUGGAAGGCAUCUUCCGAGGUUGAAAACUCCGGUGGUAGUGGAUGGGCAUGCGUUGUAUUAGCUGGUUGG